UGCAAGUCGAACGGCAGCACGGGUGCUUGCACCUGGUGGCGAGUGGCGAACGGGUGAGUAAUAUAUCGGAACGUGCCCUAGAGUGGGGGAUAACGUAGCGAAAGUUACGCUAAUACCGCAUACGAUCUAAGGAUGAAAGUGGGGGAUCGCAAGACCUCAUGCUCCUGGAGCGGCCGAUAUCUGAUUAGCUAGUUGGUGGGGUAAAAGCCUACCAAGGCGACGAUCAGUAGCUGGUCUGAGAGGACGACCAGCCACACUGGGACUGAGACACGGCCCAGACUCCUACGGGAGGCAGCAGUGGGGAAUUUUGGACAAUGGGGGAAACCCUGAUCCAGCAAUGCCGCGUGUGUGAAGAAGGCCUUCGGGUUGUAAAGCACUUUUGUCAGGAACGAAACGGUGGGGGCUAAUACCUCCUGCGGGUGACGGUACCUGAAGAAUAAGCACCGGCUAACUACGUGCCAGCAGCCGCGGUAAUACGUAGGGUGCGAGCGUUAAUCGGAAUUACUGGGCGUAAAGCGUGCGCAGGCGGUUGUGCAAGACAGAUGUGAAAUCCCCGGGCUUAACCUGGGAAUUGCAUUUGUGACUGCACGGCUAGAGUGUGUCAGAGGGGGGUAGAAUUCCACGUGUAGCAGUGAAAUGCGUAGAUAUGUGGAGGAAUACCGAUGGCGAAGGCAGCCCUCUGGGAUAACACUGACGCUCA
rnacentral:rRNA from 1 species